UACGUAGGUGGCAAGCGUUGUCCGGAUUUAUUGGGUUUAAAGGGUGCGUAGGCGGUCCUAUAAGUCAGUGCUGAAAUAUCCCGGCUUAACCGGGAGGGUGGCAUUGAUACUGCAGGACUUGAGUGAAGUCGAGGUAGGCGGAAUUGACGGUGUAGCGGUGAAAUGCUUAGAUAUCGUCAAGAACACCGAUAGUGAAGACAGCUUACUAGACUUCAACUGACGCUGAGGCACGAAAGUGUGGGGAUCAAACGGG
rnacentral:rRNA from 1 species